rnacentral:rRNA from 1 species
CCUACGGGGGGCAGCAGUAGGGAAUAUUGCUCAAUGGGGGAAACCCUGAAGCAGCAACGCCGCGUGGAGGAUGAAGGUUUUCGGAUUGUAAACUACUGUCCCCAGGGACGAAGAUGACGGUACCUGGGGAGGAAGCUCCGGCUAACUACGUGCCAGCAGCCGCGGUAAUACGUAGGGAGCGAGCGUUGUCCGGAAUUACUGGGUGUAAAGGGAGCGUAGGCGGGGAUGCAAGUUGGGUGUUAAAUCUACCGGCUCAACUGGUAGUCGCACUCAAAACUGCAGCUCUUGAGUGAAGUAGAGGCAGGCGGAAUUCCUAGUGUAGCGGUGAAAUGCGUAGAUAUUAGGAGGAACACCAGUGGCGAAGGCGGCCUGCUGGGCUUUUACUGACGCUGAGGCUCGAAAGUGUGGGGAGCAAACAGGAUUAGAUACCCGAGUAGUC